AGUGAACGCCGGCGUUAGGCCUAACACAGGCAGGUCGAACGGCAGCACAGUAAGAGCUUGCUCUUACGGGUGGCGAGUGGCGGACGGGGGAGGAAUACAUCGGAAUCUACUUUUUCGUGGGGGAUAACGUAGGGAAACUUACGCUAAUACCUCAUACGACCUACGGGUGAAAGCAGGGGAUCUUCGGACCUUGCGCGAUUGAAUGAGCCGAUGUCGGAUUAGCUAGUUGGCGGGGUAAAGGCCCACCAAGGCGACGAUCCGUAGUUGGUCUGAGAGGAUGAUCAGCCACACUGGAACUGAGACACGGUCCAGACUCCUACGGGAGGCAGCAGUGGGGAAUAUUGGACAAUGGGCGCAAGCCUGAUCCAGCCAUACCGCGUGGGUGAAGAAGGCCUUCGGGUUGUAAAGCCCUUUUGUUGGGAAAGAAAAGCAGCAGGUUAAUACCCCGCUGUUCUGACGGUACCCAAAGAAUAAGCACCGGCUAACUUCGUG
rnacentral:rRNA from 1 species